CGGCCGUACUAUAUGCUGAAUAUACCGAAUCUCGUUAGAUCACCGAAGUCAAGCAUCAUUGGGCGCGGUCAGUACUUGGGUGGGUGACCAC